GACCCAUUGCCCUCUCUCUCCCCCUCUCCCCCUCCAUUUCUCCUUCAAGAAUCCAUAGUCAGAUCACUGAAGAGGUAAAAAUUGUAACUUUAUCUAAGUUUCAGUUUAUUGCUACUCUUGUCUUUGGAAUUUGUUUUUACCUGUUUUAGCUUUUUGGGUUUGUGAAAGAUUUGAUUUUGACAGGAUUUAUGUAAGCCCCAACAUGGGUUCUUUGUAUAUACUCUUAUCGAGCAAAGCUGGUGCUGAAUUUUUCAUGGGUAACAACUUAUGGUUUAUCUGAAUCAGUUGUUUCAAGAUUAAAUUUUUAUGUUUGGGGUUUGUUGGAUUGUGCUGAUUCAGUUGUUGGCAUGUUGGAUUAUGAUGAAUUGUGGGAGAUAGAUGUUUUUGUUUGAAGUUUAGUAUUUUGGGAGUUACAAGAAUGUGUUUUUAGGCUGAUUUUUGGUUGUGAAGUUGGUAUUUUUUUUUAGUUUAGUUAUUUGGGAGUUUCAAGGAUGUGUUUUUAGGAAAGGGAAAAGGAUUUUAAGGGCUGAUUUUUGGUUAUGAUUUGUG
rnacentral:misc_RNA from 1 species